CCUACGGGAGGCUGCAGUGGGGAAUAUUGCACAGUGGGCGCAAGCCUGAUGCAGCCAUGCCGCGUGUGUGAAGAAGGCCUUCGGGUUGUAAAGCACUUUCAGCGGGGAGGAAGGCGUUAAGGUUAAUAACCUUGUCGAUUGACGUUACCCGCAGAAGAAGCACCGGCUAACUCCGUGCCAGCAGCCGCGGUAAUACGGAGGGUGCAAGCGUUAAUCGGAAUUACUGGGCGUAAAGCGCACGCAGGCGGUCUGUCAAGUCGGAUGUGAAAUCCCCGGGCUCAACCUGGGAACUGCAUUCGAAACUGGCAGGCUAGAGUCUUGUAGAGGGGGGUAGAAUUCCAGGUGUAGCGGUGAAAUGCGUAGAGAUCUGGAGGAAUACCGGUGGCGAAGGCGGCCCCCUGGACAAAGACUGACGCUCAGGUGCGAAAGCGUGGGGAGCAAACAGGAUUAGAUACCCCGGUAGUC
rnacentral:rRNA from 1 species